GUCCCUGUAGCUUAAACCAAAGCAUGACACUGAAGAUGUCAAGACGGAUGUUACACGCACCCAAGGACA
rnacentral:tRNA from 1 species